rnacentral:rRNA from 1 species
UACGGGGGGGAGCAAGCGUUGUUCGGAUUUACUGGGCGUAAAGGGCGCGUAGGCGGCCAGCACAAGUCAGUUGUGAAAUCUCCGAGCUUAACUCGGAAAGGUCAACUGAUACUGUGCGGCUAGAGUGCAGAAGGGGCAACUGGAAUUCUUGGCUGUAGCGGUGAAAUGCGUAGAUAUCAAGAGGAACACCUGCGGCGAAGGCGGGUUGCUGGGCUGACACUGACGCUGAGGCGCGAAAGCUAGGGGAGCGAACGGG